CCUAUUCUUAGGUUUAAUCGUUAACUAACUUCCUAAAUAUCUUAAAUUUUCAACGAUGGAUAUCUAGGCUCCUAUAACGAUGAAGAACGCAGCGAAAUGCGAUACGCAAUGCGAAUUGCAGAACCGUGAGUCAUCAGAUCUUUGAACGCAAGUGGCGGCAUCUUCGGAUGUCAUGUUUGUUUCAGUGUGUUCGGUUAAUUACAUCGUAGAACUUAAUGUGAUUGAAGCGAUUCUCUCACUGAGUACGGGGUUGCGUCAGCGCGAACAUUCCACGAACUAGUCACUAACUUGGUGAUAAUCGUGAAAGUGGUCAAGCUGUAGAAUCGUAACUCGAUAAACGAAUAUCCAAUCAUAACACCUGAAACAAGCAAGAUUACCCGCU
rnacentral:rRNA from 1 species